rnacentral:misc_RNA from 1 species
AGCAAUAUUAGCCAACCAAAACCAUAUUUGUCAGUUUUCUGCAGAAAAUUCAUAAGGUGAACUAACAAGUGGACCAAUAUGAUUCAGAGUUUUUCUUAUCUAAACAUGGUGUCCUAUCGCCUACCAUAAGACGAAGCCAAGUCAGGCUGCAGCUACCUGUAUAAAUUGCUAGAACCAGACCUCGUUUCUCAUCCAGACUCGUAACAAAAAUUU